rnacentral:tRNA from 1 species
GCAUUGGUGAUUUAGUAGUAGAAUUUUCACCUUCCAAGUGGGAGAUCAGGGUUCGACUCUCAUGUGCA